rnacentral:misc_RNA from 1 species
GUGAAUCAUCAAAUCUUUGAACGCAAAUUGCACUCUCUGGUAUUCCGGAGAGUAUGCCUGUUUGAGGGUCAGUUUAAUUAAAAAUCGGUGUGUUUCCUCCCUUUCGUGGUGACGCACCGGAUUUGGGUCGUCUUGCCUUCGGUUAGGUGCCCUAAAAUUUUGCAUGAUUUUUUCGCACGUAUUUAACUCAUAUUACGUACGUUUACGUUAA